CACUGAGUGGACAGUAGGCUGCUAGGGUAAGGACUGGCAAGAUGGGAAGAGCCGAAAGUCAAAGGAAUGACGGAAUUGAGAGGCAAGAAAAUUUGUAUAUGCCAAAUACCUUGAGAUGCUAAGACCAAAGGGGAAAGAAGAGAGAACACUCUACACCAAAAGAGAACAUCAUCCAACUUAUUUAGGGCUUAACAGACUUCGACCUGCUAAGAUCCAAGGAAAAUGAAACACCUUAUACUUCUCACUUGAAAUUUCACCCUUGGGAUCUGCUGCUCGAUCACCAACGAGGACCAUGCUGCUGGCAGCUCAAACUUCUCACAUUUUCCCAGUCAAAUAACAACUGAUGGCAAAGGAAUCCAAUACUCUGCCCUCCCCCAGGCCUCUGUAUCAAUCUCAAAAGUGCAAUGAGAAAAAGAAAAGCAGGAGUGUCCUCCAUUUGAACACCAGAGCAGCAGGCCACAAAUAAACAGCAAAAUCAUGAACUUUCUUCCUUCCUUGCCCCAACUUCGGCCCUCAGAGUUCAGGCUCAAGAGCAUCCUGAUGUAGUACCUGACUGCUCAGUUCAAGCAGAGCACCUACUGUAAACAGUAUUCUAACAGAGGAAGGUGUCUGAGUCAUAGCAUAUCCUGGGGGCAGUUUCACAGCUUAUGGCUGGAUAAGCUCAAGGAGGAAAGAAUGCCUCUCUCAGGAGGUGGUGCUCUCCCAGCUAGUAACCAGUGUUCACACCAAGUUGACUCUGACUCAUGACAACCCAUGUGACCCUUCAAACUCCAAUCCACAGCUUACCGUGGUACAAGGUGGUUGAACUUGUAAGAACUGAAGACCUCUUGGAUCUUUUCUUCUACUUUUGCCUGGUAGGAUGCAGAAGAUAGGAGAGAGAAAACAAAUACAGAUGAGACUUCUAUCAACUUUUUCCUCUCACUGCCACAAAUGCCUAUUGGCUGGAGUUGCCUGGCAUGGUUGUAUACUUUAUAGAGCUAUAAGGCUGCGGGGUGACAAGCUUAGGACAAGGAGUAAGAGAGAACGCGCUGUACCAUUUGGCAUCACAAUCAACUCCUCCAAUAACUUAAUCCAUAAUAUCCAAACUAAUGGUGGUUUUGGAAUUGGCCUCUGUGGUACCGGUAACUCAGGGAGCAGAUGAAGACAGAUACAUUUUGCUUGCAAGAUUUAUUCUUGCCUGCUCUAUGAAGUUGUUUGGUGUUCAUUAACUAGCUGCCCUCACGUACACAAUUAAUUCCUGCCAAGGGUCAUACUUCUUACUGUCAUAUUGAACAGCUUAAAGUAUUAAAUGCCCUAAGGAAUUUAUAAGGACAUCAAUCACCGAAAACCAAAGGGAUAGCAAAUCUGGGCAUUGGUCCUACAUCACAUGCAGGACUCACUCCACAGUCUCAUAAAGCAAAGGGUCUUAGAAGGUCAGGUUACAAAACACACCAGAUCACCUGUCCUUUCUGAAUACCACACCAUAAUACACUUCCAGUGUAGCCUCAGUGAGGAAAAGGGUACUAAUGAGGGUAGGGCUGGUCAACAGGAUACAGGUUUUCACCUUCAUCAGAAUCCCUCCUCUUUGUAGUGAGGCAUGUUCUUGCUAGGAUUUCAAGAUACAUAAUAAUUGCCUCCCUGGGAAAUUUUAAAAACAUGUCAUUUAUUUCUGGAACAUUCAUUGAGUUAGAGCUUCUAGUCCCUUUGACAAGUUUGCAAGAAUUAUUUAUGAUGAGGGGUGAGCAGUGAUGUGAAUCAUCUAAAAUGGCAGCCAAUUUAAAAUUCAUUUAUAUUUGGUUAUAGGAUAUGCUUUGGUAUUUGUCUUUGAACAUGAGUUUGAGGGAUGAUCUGGCUAAGAAUUUACAAUAUUUCAAAAAACAGGCUAAAGUCACCUUGAGAACCUGACUUAAGAGGAACAAGAAAGUUGUUCCAGAUCCCUCAUAAUUCUUUUUCCAUUCCAGAAACUCAUACGGGACUAACAUGAAGCACCAGCCUAAACGGAACAAAGACGGCAUUUCUCAGUCACGUGUUCCUUAGCUCCCACAGUAUAUUCAAUAUUCUCCACCAACACCACAGUUUGAAUGUAUCGACUCUUCUUUCUUUUUCAUUAAGCAGCUGUUGGAUAUGGAUUGAAGAGACCAUGGCUUAAGUCAGAUGCACAUUACAAAUCAGAAGAAUGCACAUAAAAAUGAAGAUUUCUAGCUUCUCUCAAAAAAUUGGCAAGUUUGGACACAUAUCACAAUCAUCUAGGGCUGAGCAGUGGCUGUCCUCUUUGGAUGAGCACCUGCUUGUCAAGUCACCAGAGGCCCAAUCACUACCCGUUACCUCCCUUCUGACUUUACCUGCCUGGCCCCUUGUAGGCAUCUGAGUAUGAGACCCAUGUAGUCAAGUAAAGACCCAGAAGAAAAGGAAAAUGACUGGAAAGUAGCUCUAAGGCAGUGGUUCUCAAAGUGCGGCUCCCAGACUACAGCAACAAUACUACUGGGAACUUGUUAGAAAUGCAGUCUCUGGUCACAUGCUGGGUCUGCAGAAUCAGAAAAUACAUGGGUGGGGUCCACUCGACUGUUUUUGAACAAAAUCCAGAGGAUUCUGAUGUAUGCUAACAUUUGAGAACCCAUGCUAAGGAAUAAAGAGAUUGAAAAAGGCUUUUAGUAGUGGUAACAGUCACUGUAAAUGAGAUGAGUCUUGCCAUCCUUGCUUCUAAGAAGUACUCUGGCCGUACCCCUUCCAAGACAGAUUCAUUUGUUCUUUUGGCAGUCCGCAGUAUUUUCACAAAAUCUGACUAGGAAGAAGUACAGCCAGAACGCUCCUUAGAAACGAGGAUGGCCAGACUUCAUCUCACGUAGUUUGGACAUGUUAUCAGGAGGGACCAGUCCCUGGAGAAGGACAUUGUGCUUGGUAAAAUAGAGGGUCAGAGAAAAAGAGGAAGAUCCUCAACAAGACAGGAUUGACACGGCGGCUGUAGCAAUGGGCUCAAAAAUGGCAACAAUUGUGAGGAUGACCCAGGACCAGGCAGUGUUUCAUUCUGGUGUAUGUAGGGUCGCUAUGAGUCAGAACCGACUCAACAGCACCCAACAACAACAAAUACUCACUGAAGACUUCAACUCAGAGGCUGAUGUGUGGAGUUGGACUUCAAAUAGUGCUUUCUUCAUUCAUAAUUACUUAAUUGCUGGUUUUUUUGUGGCUUUUUUUUACUGUUUACUGUGCCUUUUUUCUCUCAAUCAGUAAAGGAAAAACGAAGCUAAGAAGGCAAAAUAUUUCUCUGAAUAACCUAAGGCUUUGCGUAGAAGAUUCAACAGGUCAAAGUUGACCUAGUCCCCUUAUCCAGCUGUUGUUUCCCUCUAUCAAGACUGAAAUCCUUUAUGAAUCAGAGCAGACGUUCUCAACCUUGGCUACAUAUUGGAAUUGCCUGGGGAGCUUUAAAAAAAAAUGCUGAUGCCUCAUAAGGAGAAGUGAAGUCCUGAUACAUGCCACAACAUGCAUGAACCUUGAAAACAUUACACUGAGUGAAGUCAGUCACAAAGGACAAAUACUGAAUGAACUCACUUAAAUGAAGUAAGUAAAUAUACCAAAACUAAAGCUUAUUAGUUACCGGGGUGGGAGGAAGAUAAGAAGAGAGGGGUUUUGCUUUGGGGACGCUGAGUUUACCUUAAUGGUGGUGGAAUAACUAGGAAGGAGAUAGGGAUAAGGGUGCAACAUGAGGAGUGCAAUCAAUGUCACUGAAUUGUGCACGCAGAAACUGUUGAAUUGUGGAAUGUUCUGUUGUGUAUAUUUGCAUCACAAUAUUAAAAUGCUGAUGCCUAGGCCCCAUUCCUAAAUAUUCUAAUUUAAUUCAUCCAGGGUGAGGCCUGGACACCAGGAGUUGUGAAUCACUGCCCUGUCAAUGCCUUUAAAAAAAAAAAAAAAACUUUAACACCAGGUGCUUCUAGAAGUAAUGAUGGAAAGCUAAGUUUAUAUCACAAACCAAAAUAAACACUAGAAGGUGGCUCCCAGUGGCCUUUACAAUAUAUCUUAACAGCAGUAACCCCUCAGCACAUACAGGGCAGGUGCUUAUCAUUACUAUGGUGUAACAACAUUCAGGAACCUUCCUUUUGUACCAGUUUUGCCUCCACUUGCAAUUCAAUUUCUUUACUCCACAUAAAUGUGUGGUUUUUACUUUUCCUUUGAACUAGUCAUAACAUCUGCCUGGUUCCCUCAUGUGUAAGUAAAAUAAAAUUUUGAGCAUGUGUUCAUUUUUACAUCUGUAUGAGAGUCAUGAUUUUACCUUUUCCUGAAAAUGAUCUUUUAACGGUAGUUACACAGGAGGAACCAGUCCUAAAUAUGUCAAUUUGGAGAGAGAUCAAAAACAAUGUUAAAUUUUUAAAAAGCAAGAUGACAGAGUGCAACACGAUUCAUGUAAGUUUUUAAAAACAAUUCACAAAUACAGUGCAUAUGGACACAUAAAAGGAUUAAAGGUGAAGUGGAAGGGUACAUCCCCCAACUCUUGCGACAGGCUGCCUCUGGGGAGGGAGGCCAGCUGUACUGGGGAUGGGGUUAAAGGAUAUUGGCUAUAUCUGUAACUGUUUUUCUUUAAACAAAUAAUCACAGUGAAAAAAAAUUUUUAAAAGAUGUUAACAACUGUUAAUUCUAGGUUAUGGGAAAACGGCUGUUAAUUAUGUUGUUAUUUGUACUUUUUGUUAAUGAUGAUAUUUCCUUUUAAAAAGGAUUUCAAAGUGCUAAGAUUUGUGAUGCCUUAUCACCCAAGCUUUCCCACGCCUCUGCAAGGAAGCUGUGUUCUGGAUGUUCAUCGAUAAAUCAGUUGUUUAGACUUUAUUUGUUUCCCCACCAAGACAAUGUUAUACCUAAUUGUUAGGUUCCCAGGCCGGCCCUCCUUAAUCUAUCAGCCAAAAAAACCACAACCACUGCCUUCGAGUUAAUUUCAACUCAUAGCAAUCGUAUAGGGCAGAGCAGAACUGCCCCACAGGGCUUCCAAGGCUGUAAUCUUUAAGGGAGCGGCUGAUGGGUUUGAACUGCCUGCCUAUCCUAACAGCACAUCUCUCACCUUCUCUGGCACAGUCAUAAGGCAACUCUCCACUUGGGUUACAGCAAAAAAAAAGAAUAGUUCAAAAUUAAGUCUACUUGUUUACUGGUUUGUCAGGAGUCCUGGUAGCGCAUUAGUUAAAGCGCUUAGCUGCUAACCAAAAGGUCAGUGAUUCGAGUCAGAACCGUUUCGACAGCAGUAGGUUUGGUCUGGGUUUUUCGGUUUGUCAGAAGCCCUGGUGGUACGGUGGUUAGACUUGGCUGGUAACAGAAAGUUCGGCAAUUUGAACCCGCCAGCCGCUCCACGGGACAAAAACGUGGCAGUCUAUUUCUGUCUUAUCUCUACUCUGUCCUAUAGGGUUGCUAUGAGUCGAAAUUGACUCAACGGCAAUGAGUUUGGGUUUUUUGGUUUGUCAGUUUAUCCCUGCUUCUGGGAGGACACGGACUGUUUCUAUGAACGGAAUAUUUUUAAGUUUGCUUAACUCAGAUUUUAUAUGUGUAUGUGUGUGUAUACAUAUGUAACACACACACGCAUAUAUAUCUUUAAAAUAUAUAAACUAAGAUUUUUUUUAUAUACCUAUACCUGUGUGUAUGUAUACAUAUACUUUUCAGUUAUAUACGUGAUAUAAACUUAUAUAUGUAUAUAUUAGUUUAUAUACGCAACUACAUAUAUAUGAGUUCGUGUUUUUCAACAAUGAAGAGAUUGAGCUAGACUCUAGGGGUAGAGAUUAAACAACUCUACCCAAAUCCCCAAGACUUGGAUGCCAGGGCAAUAAAUAAAUGAAGAUCUAACCAUCAACCUCAUUCUCAACAGCUUUGUUUUUCUAGAAAUCCAAUCCAUAGAAGCGCAGAAUAAAUUUCAUUCACCGAUGAGUGGUAAGAGCCAACUAAAGCAUUUGAUACUUUCUCUUUCGCAGCUUCCAUCUAAAACCAAUUUCGUGGAGCACCAACUUUCAUCUCAUGGGCUAUCACUUCCCUUUUUCCCCCCCUCUCCCAUAGGAGGACCAUUCCAGAAAGCAGACUUGCUGCCUGAGAUUCAUAUUAAUGCUUAAACCACAGUAAAGAACCAUUAAUACAUUAAAUAUAUGGCAAAGAUUUUUCUUUAAAAAAAAAAAUCUUUAUAUAUAUGCCUCAGAAAAGACAAGUGACCUUACAAAGGUCCUCUGGCUAGGGGAAGUUCUUUCAAUUAUUUUGAAUAUUACCACCCAUCUGUCAGUUUUUUGUACUGUGGUGGCUUGCAUGUUGCUAUGAUGCUGGAAACUAUGCCACUGGUAUUUCAAAUACCAGCAGGGUCACCCAUGUUGAGCUCCCAGUGGAGCUUCCAGACUGAUGGACUAGGAAGAAUGGCCUGGUAAUCCACGUCUGAAAAUUAGCCAAUGAAAACCAUAUGGAUCACAACUGAAUACUGUUCAGUAUAGUGCUGAAAAAUGAGUCUCCUAGGUUAGAAGGCACUCAAAAUACACAGUAGCUCCAAUACUAGACUCAAACAUACCAAGGAUCAUAAAGGUGGCUCAGGACCAGGCAUCACUUCCUUUCAUCAUACACAGGGUCACCAUAAGUUGAUUCUGAUGGUAAUAACAACAUUCUGAACACAAGGUAACCAGUUGGGGGUUGACACAGGCUGGUUUUGGCUGCUUACAGAGUGGAAACUUGUACAAGUAUGAGCGAAAGAGAAAGACAAGCACAGAUUUAGUAUUUAUUCCUGGAGAUACGAACUCACAGUUCAAAGUGUAGGUUGCCAUUGUAAGCCAGCUUUUUAAGGUUCAUUUUAAAAAAUAAUAGAAUAAAUGCCCUUUAUCACCGCUCUUAUUCAACAUUGUGCUAGAAGUCCUAGCCAGAGCAAUUAGGCUAGACAAAGAAAUAAAGGGCAUCCGGAUUGGCAAAGAGGAAGUAAAAUUAUCUCUAUUUGCAGAUGACAUGAUCUUAUACACAGAAAACCCCAACGAAUCCACCAGAAAACUACUGAAACUAAUAGAAGAGUUUGGCAGAGUCUCAGGUUAUAAGAUAAACAUACAAAAAUCACUUGGAUUCCUCUACAUCAACAAAAAGAACAUCGAAGAGGAAAUAAACAAAUCAAUACCAUUCACAGUAGCCCCCAGGAAGAUAAAAUACUUAGGAAUAAAUCUUACCAAGGAUGUAAAAGACCUAUACAAAGAAAACUACAAAGCUCUACUACAAGAAAUUAAAAGGACAUACUUAAGUGGAAAAACAUACCUUGCUCAUGGAUAGGAAGACUUAACGUAGUAAAAAUGUCUAUUCUACCAAAAGCCAUCUAUACAUACAAUGCACUUCUGAUCCAAAUUCCAAUGUCAUUUUUUAAGGUGAUAGAGAAAUAAAUCACCAACUUCAUAUGGAAGGGAAAGAAGCCUCGGAUAAGCAAAGCAUUACUGAAAAAGAAGAAGAAAGUGGGAGGCCUCACUCUACCUGAUUUCAGAACCUAUUAUACAGCCACAGUAGUCAAAACAGCCUGGUAUUGGUACAACAACAGGCACAUAGACCAGUGGAACAGAAUUGAGAACCAAGAUAUAAAUCCACCCACAUAUGAGCAGCUGGUAUUUGACAAAGGCUCUGAGUCAGUUAAUUGGGGAAAAGAUAGUCUUUUUAACAAAUGGUGCUGGCAUAACUGGAUAUCCAUUUGCAAAAAAAUGAAACAGGACCCAUACCUCACACCACGCACAAAAACUAACUCCAAGUGGAUCAAAGACCUAAACAUAAGGACUAAAACGAUAAAGAUCAUGGAAGAAAAAAUAGGGACAACCUUAGGAGCCCUAAUACAAGGCAUAAACAGAAUACAAAACAUUACCAAAAGUGACGAAGAGAAACCAGAUAACUGGGAGCUCCUAAAAAUCAAACACCUAUGCUCAUCUAAAGACUUCACCAAAAGAGUAAAAAGACCACCUACAGACUGGGAAAGAAUUUUCAGCUAUGACAUCUCCGACCAGCGCCUGAUCUCUAAAAUCUAUGAUUCUGUCAAAACUCAACCAGAAAAAGACAAACAACCCAAUCAAGAAGUGGGCAAAGGAUAUGAAUACACACUUCACUAAAGAAGAUAUUCAGGCAGCUAACAGAUACAUGAGAAAAUGCUCUCGAUCAUUAGCCAUUAGAGAAAUGCAAAUUAAAACCACGAUGAGAUUCCAUCUCACUCCAACAAGGCUGGAAUUAAUCCAAAAAACACAAAAUAAUAAAUGUUGGAGAGGCUGCAGAGAGAUUGGAACUCUUAUACACUGCUGGUGGGAGUGUAAAAUGGUACAACCACUUUGGAAAUCUAUCUGGCGUUAUCUUAAACAGAAAUAGAACUACCAUACAACGCAGAAAUCCCACUCCUCGGAAUAUACCCUACAGAAACAAGAGCCUUUACACAAACAGAUAUAUGCACACCCAUGUUUAUUGCAGCACUGUUUACAAUAGCAAAAAGCUGGAAGCAACCAAGGUGUCCAUCAACGGAUGAAUGGGUAAAUAAAUUUUGGUAUAUUCACACAAUGGAAUACUACGCAUCGAUAAAGAACAGUGAGGAAUCUGUGAAACAUUUCAUAACACGGAGGAACCUGGAAGGCAUUAUGCUGAGCGAAAUUAGUCAGAGGCAAAAGGACAAAUAUUGUAUAAGACCACUAUUAUAAGAUCUUGAGAAAUAGUAUAAUCG